GCUCGGCCGAUCGGUUAUUUCCCGUCCUCCCGGGGGAGUAGCCGGGGCCAUUACCCUUUGUUCCUCAUUCUUUGAUUAACAAGUAUUGGCACGUUCUUCAUGAUUUCCAGCUGGUGCCAGUUGAUACUUGACCGCGUUGCAGCUAUGAAGAAGUGAAAAGAGCAAGAAAACUUGAGGGUCUGUCCAAGGAGGAAGGAUCGCAGACGCACUCUCAAGAUCUGUGUGUUACUUUCUACAGGAUGGGAAAUAGCCUAUGUGCUCCUUUAUUCUUUCUGAGCGUAGGUCUUCCUUACGUACCCCCAAAGCACCGUGCUGUGACCGUGUGGCCGUGACUCACUGGAGACCACCUCAGUACCCUCAGAAGUUGGGGCCAUUCUGUCUCCCCUCCUGUUCCCUCUCUGGACAGCUGAGCAAGGAAUUCCGUGAGCAAAACCCACUCCUGCUAUUCUCAGUACAGGAAGUCAGGCGGUUUUCUACAGCAAUACUGUAUUUGUGAACCACGUCGGAGAGAGACCUGGGCCCCCGAAGCAGUGGUACAGACUGACUCGCAUCAACACUCCUCAGGACUGGAACUCCCUGAGAUAAACAUCUGCUUAGCUCAUCCCACGAGACUGCAUUUGUUCAUCCUGUGCAAAGGAACAGCGUCAUAAAGAGAUACAAAAUAACAGGACCCUGGAAAACAUCUUUAUCUGUGUAGAUGGAUAAAAACGGGCAUAUUGGAAAUGUUGCAAAGAGAAGCUGCAGAACAAUCUGAUGAGUGGAAUCCGUAAGAAGAAAGAAUAGGACUGGAAUGUAUGAAAUGAACUUGCAAGGGCCUUGUAAACAGCAUGCUCAGUGAGCUGAUAACCACAAGGAAAAUGCUGCAACAGAUGUAAAGGCAAGCAGAAUCAGUAAUUUGAGAUGGAAGAGAAUAUUAUUAUUAGAAAGAAACCAACAAGCGUGGAAGACUAAGAAGCAGAAUUAAGGAGACUGGGUAUUGUGAUGGAGCACAGUGGGAAGUGGAUAGCAAUAUGAAAAAUUAAUUUAUCUGAGACAAAAGAGAAUAGAGGAAUUAAAGAUGGAAAGUUAGGCAGAAGUACAGCUAAGGGGAAGAGGAAAACCACACCUUCUGAUAUUUUUUUCAUGGAAGAAAUAUUCCCCUACAAGAGGAAAAAAAUGUGACAGAAAUGAAGGAAACAAGAGCUGAGCCAAAGAUGGAGAAAACUCAACCGGAAUGAUGGUCAGGUAUUCAUUAAAGUGCAAGAAGAGUAGAACUGAGGAAGGGGGGAGGAUGAAGUUUGAGGAAAAACCAUCAAGUGACAGCAGGAGGAGGUAUUGGGGGCAUCGCUAGCCUGGGGACCAUUGGCAGGGGUAGAGUAAGAGCGAGAGAAAAGAUCUGGGACAAAGGAAAUGGGAGUUUUAAGAGAAUCAAAGACCAAAGACCCUCUUCUCCUGUGCGCUCCCCGCAGCUCUGCCGCGCGUCCCUUUCCUUAGUCUGUUUUCUCAGGGCAGAGGCAGACAGGCGCUUAGAAGGACUGCAGCUAGAUGGGAGUUCACUGUCUAUUCCGUAGUGGAUGACUGUGUCUGACGCUGUCUCUGAAAGAAUUCUUUGGAAUCUGUGAGUGCCAAGGAGCAGGUCCUGCCCACAGUAUAACGUGCUACAAACACUGUAUCAUGGUUUUGAGAAGCUUUUUCUCUCCAGUCACUGGCGUAGCAUUACCCUAAACCAACCAAAUCUGUUCUGCAGAACCUAGCGCUGUACGCAGGUGUAGUUCAUCUUUACUCACAGCCACACAACUUUUCUCGGUUUCAAAUCAGACUGAAGAAAUUUCUGGCCACCAAUAUGGCAUCUUUGCUUUGAGGCCAUCUUGUGCUUCUUUGGAGUUCCUCCAGCAAUAAAGCAUCCAGUCAGUUGGGAAUGUAUGACUAUUAGUAAAACAGAGCAUAUAAUCCAUUCAUUUCCCAAAUGACUUAAUCUAGGAGUCUGACUGGCGUCAAGAGAGCGAACAAGAUUUGGGGAGAGACUGGCGAGCAAGGAACACAACCAUCAAAUCAAGGGGCUUUCUCAGGUUUACUUCCAAGGCACUAGAUCAGCCUGUAUUUGCAUUUUAGAGAGUUAAGCGAGUCUCACUGCAGAUUUAAAGAAGCCUUAAAACAUGAAAGAAGCUGCCUUGUUUGUUUCUUUUUAUAGAUGAGGCAAAUGAAACUUCUCUAGCUGUGUGAGAGGGCAGGUGCUUUCCGCUCUGAGAGGGUGGUAGCUGCUGUCAUUUGUAACCCAAAGUGGUUCAACAGUAUGAACUUACUGUUUUGGACAGGAUUUACUUUCGAAAAUCUGAAGCCACUUUUAACUCUUUCAAGGCGAAGGGACGUAGGUGUAACAUGUUCUUAUUUGCAGACAUUAUGGCUUUGAUACUGUGCAUUUUGUGUCCCUGGAAACAUAAUAAUUUAGUAGCAAGGACGUCCAUAACACCAUCGACUUCCCUUGAACACGUUAAAAAAAAUAUUCUUUUGAAGCAGUAUCAGUAGUGAACAGUGAUACGCCAAGUCUGACCCAGCGCAUACUGUCAGCCCUUUGUCCUAUUUAAUAACGUCUUUUAUGACAGAAAUAUUGGAAUAAUAUUUCCCUUUGGAAAUUGUUUCAAGCAAAUAACCUCCUAAUAAAUUGCUGUGGCAAUUUAUCCUUUGUGUUUAGCAGAAUAACCAUUGGCAUGACUCAGUGGCUACACAGGGAAAGAACGGGUCACUAUUACAAAAUAUCCAACAAUUUUUAAACUACCGCUGUUGGUAUUAACAAUACCAACCCUGAGUAUUGCAAAUGAUUCUGCAAUUGAUUCUGGCUUUUUUCUUCCCAUUCAGUUUAAAAUAUCCAGUAGUAUUCUGAGAAGCCGUGAAAUCCGCAGGUCUUUU
rnacentral:lncRNA from 1 species